AGUCGUGGGGUACGCAGUGUAGCAAUACAUGGGCGACGACCGGCAAACGGGUGCGUAACACGUACGCAACUUACCCACUACUGGUGAAUAGCCCAGGGAAACUUGGAUUAAUACACCAUAUUAUAUAGGAUUGGCAUCAAUUUUAUAUCAAAGCUUCGGCGGUAGCGGAUGGGCGUGCGGUUGAUUAGAUAGUUGGCGGGGUAACGGCCCACCAAGUCUACGAUCAAUAGCUGAUGUGAGAGCAUGAUCAGCCACACGGGCACUGAGACACGGGCCCGACUCCUACGGGAGGCAGCAGUAAGGAAUAUUGGGCAAUGGACGCAAGUCUGACCCAGCCAUGCCGCGUGAAGGAUGACGGUCCUCUGGAUUGUAAACUUCUUUUAUCUGGGACGAAAACCACCUUUUCUAGGGUGCUUGACAGUACCAGGUGAAUAAGCACCGGCUAACUCCGUGCCAGCAGCCGCGGUAAUACGGAGGGUGCAAGCGUUAUCCGGAUUCACUGGGUUUAAAGGGUGCGUAGGCGGGCAGGUAAGUCAGUGGUGAAAUCUUCGAGCUUAACUCGGAAACUGCCGUUGAUACUAUCUGUCUUGAAUAUAGUGGAGGUAAGCGGAAUAUGUCAUGUAGCGGUGAAAUGCUUAGAGAUGACAUAGAACACCAAUUGCGAAGGCAGCUUGCUACACUAUUAUUGACGCUGAGGCACGAAAGCGUGGGGAUCAAACAGGAUUAGAUACCCUGGUAGUCCACGCCCUAAACGAUGAUUACUCGGCAUCAGCGAUACACUGUUGGUGUCUAAGCUAAAGCAUUAAGUAAUCCACCUGGGAAGUACGAU
rnacentral:rRNA from 1 species